AACGAACGCUGGCGGCGCGCCUAAUACAUGCAAGUCGAGCGAGAAGACGUAGCAAUACGUUUGUAAAGCGGCGAACGGGUGAGGAAUACAUGGGUAACCUACCCUCGAGUGGGGAAUAACUAGCCGAAAGGUUAGCUAAUACCGCGUACGCUCCUUGGACUUCGGUUUCAGGGAGGAAAGCGAUACCGUGGGUAUCGCGCUCUUUGGAUGGGCGUCAUGUCCUAUCAGCUUGUUGGUGAGGUAACGGCUCACCAAGGCUUCGACGGGUAGCUGGUCUGAGAGGACAAUCAGCCACACUGGCACUGCGACACGGGCCAGACUCCUACGGGAGGCAGCAGUAAGGAAUAUUGCGCAAUGGGCGAAAGCCUGACGCAGCGACGCCGCGUGGGGGAUGAAGGUC
rnacentral:rRNA from 1 species